rnacentral:piRNA from 1 species
UGCAAGGAUUGCCAUGUGAGUGACCUUGA